CAGGACUCUCAGGAAGAGCCUUUGCGUAUCCCUGGGCUCAAGGGUGUGGAGUCACUUCCUACUCCCAUGGGAUACCCUCUGGGAAGCUGCAGAGGGACCCACUCCAGCUCGCCUGUGUGGAUCCUUGGGGACCCUCAGCCUCCGGGGACCCAGAUACUCCCUCAGGGAGGCCUCUUGACCCCUCCAUGUUGGCCCAGAAGAGCCUGCUCAGGAUAGGGGUCUCGAGGACUCUGACCACCACAGACAGAGUGGAGAGCAGGACAGAAGCACUCAACGUGGGAGAAGGCAAAGAAACAAAUCUGAGGAAGCCAUGAUGUGGACACCAAGACAAACUGCCAUCCUUUCCAUGUUCCCUCUCCUUACUCUUAAGAAAGAGCCAGAAACGUCUGUUUUGCUGCCAUUCGGGAAAAGCCGCUGUUCUGGUCAGCCUGCCCCUCACUGGAGGGUUUACCUGGCUCGUGGUUUCAGGGGAUCCAAUCCAUGGCUGACCCCAAGGCUGGAGCAUCAGGGCACAGGGGAGCAAAGCUACUUUGUUCGUGGCAGCUGGAAGCAGAGAAGGGAGGAGCACUAG
rnacentral:lncRNA from 1 species